rnacentral:rRNA from 1 species
UACGUAGGGGGCUAGCGUUGUCCGGAUUUAUUGGGCGUAAAGAGCGUGUAGGCGGCCAGGUAGGUCUGCUGUGAAAACUCGAGGCUCAACCUCGAGACGUCGGCGGAAACCAUCUGGCUAGAGUCCGGAAGAGGAGAGUGGAAUUCCUGGUGUAGCGGUGAAAUGCGCAGAUAUCAGGAAGAACACCCGUGGCGAAGGCGGCUCUCUGGACGGCAACUGACGCUGAGGCACGAAAGCGUGGGGAGCAAACAGG